UUUAGCACAGCAAGGGUGCCGCGGUGAGUAAAGUUUGGGAACCCCUGGUCUAGGGUAUUAGGAGAGUAGUGUGAAAUAGUAAAAAUUCGUGCUCAUUGAAAUAUCUCCGAAAAGAAAACACCAUGUCCGAGUAUUUUCAAAGGUAACUUUACAUGAAUUGUGUGGCUAUUUGAGCAAUUAAUUAGCGAAAUUCUUAAGUUUGACAGAAAUCAUAUAUGCUUGCAUUGAUACGUUUAACAGUACUUUUAUUCUAUAAAUGAUGAUAAAAUCAUGACGGUCUUCAGAAACAUAAUUGCUGAAAAAACUUGACAUUCCACUAGAACACUGAUUUGAAAUUAUCAAACUUAAGAUAGCUUUAGAUAGAAAAUGGAUGUAAUAUUUAUUUAUUUUUUAUUUGCAGAGAUGUCGAAAUCGGUGAUAUAGUUACAGUUGGCGAGUGUCGUCCACUUUCUAAAACUGUGCGUUUCAACGUUCUUAAAGUCACCAAGGGGCAGGGAACCAAAAAGAGUUUUAAAAAAUUUUAACUUGGUGCUUUUUAAAUAAAUAAGAAAGAAAAAUACUUUCUCUUUGAUUCUAAGUAAUAAUAAUCCAAUAUUGUAUAUCCUAUUCAAAAAUUUGAAAUUCAAAAAUUGUUC